ensembl:lncRNA
GAACGAAUCGAUUCGCUCGAUCGAGUCAUUUGUAUGUGUCGUUUCUAAAAAAAAAAAAAAAAAAAAAAAAAAAAAAAGACCGAAUCGUUUGCUAAUCUCUCAUCACUUUUACAGAAGAAGAGAGAGGAGAAAGUCAGUCCUCCCUGAAUCCAUUAUGGACUAAUAAAAGACGCGUUAUCAUUCUGCUUUUUCAUUCGUUUCAUUGUUUGGUGGUAGAGCGGGUUGUCCACUCAUCAUAGGGUUGGCGGUUCGAUUCCCGGCCCACGUGACGCCACAUACCAAAGUGUCCUUUGGCAAGACACUGAACCCCAAGUUGCUCCCGAUGGCAAGUUAGCGCCUUGCAUGGCAGCUCUGCUACCAUUGGCGAGUGUGUGAGUGAGACACAGUGUAAAGCAUUUUGGAUAAAAGCACUCUAUAAAUGCAGACCAUUUACCAUCUAUCUAUCUCUAUGUAUGCUGUGAUUUUCUGAUUUGAAAUGAAAGUCUUUCUCACUGUGACAUGGUUUUUAUUCUUUUUACUCUUUAGGCACACUUUUUUUUUCUUUUUCCUCUGAUUGUCUUCUCUCACUUCACUCACUACUCUGAUUUACACAGCAUGAAAAAUUCACUGCAUGUCGUCUACACUGGGUCAUCAUGCCCCUCCAUUGUGUCCCAGCGUAGCUUCUCCCCCAAGCCAUUUGUGUGUGUGUGUGUGUGUGGUUCUGUUGCGAUGCAGACGAGUGUGUGACGCUACAGGUCACUGAGGACAAUACAAACGCUUGGAGUGUGGCUCCAAAGAACACGGCCCACAGCAGGCAAAAGGUUCAGAUACGCUUAAAUGCUUGAAGGCGAGGUUUUAAGAAGGAAAAGCUCAUAGAUCAGAUCCAGCACACGACUUCACCAUGAGCUACUGCACAUGGCACAAAGAGCGCUCUGUUGUUGGAAACACGAGCCUAUAAUCACCGGUCUGGCACUCUGCUGUGCCUUUUGAUCCGCAUGGCCACAUCAUGUAGGAAUGCCAUCGUCGCUGGAUUUCUUUAGCUCUUCUUGGAGUCGUGCCUACGACGGCGUACAUUUGAAGUGCUAUGUUUAGGAAAUUGGUUUCAGGGCAGAGCAGGAGCACACUGUUGGCUUUUGUGUCUUUAAGAUGUUCAAUGUGAAAAUAAAGACCACCAGUGGUGUAUUUUCUCCAUGUAGUGGUGUAAUGUAUAAUGUAACACAUGGAAAAAAUCCCCUGCUUGCAAUUAAUCAGCGUUGCUGCUUGGUUUUAACGGGGAACGAGCACGUUGCAGAGUGUUUACAUGUGCCGAGUGGCUUGGACAGCAGGUAAAUGUCACUCCACCUAAUGAAUGGUUACAACCCCAAUUCCAAAUAAGUUGGGAUGAUUUGCAAACCUCAUAAACCCAUAUGUUAUUCACAAUAGAACAUAGAAAACAUAUCAAAUGUUUAAACUGAGUAAGUGUACGAUUUUAAGAAAAAAAUAAGGGCAUUUUGAAUUCGGUGGCCGCAGCACAUCUCAAAAAAGUUGGGACAGGGGCAACAAAAGGCUGGAAAAGUAAGUGUUAGAAAAAAGAAACAGCUGGAGGAACAUUUUGCAACUAAUUAGGUUAAUAAUUAGGUCAGUAACAUGACUGGAUAUAAAAAGAGUAUCUUAGAGAAGCAGAGUCAUUCAGAAGUAAAGAUGGGAUGGAAUCUGGAUGGAAGCAUUUGUUGCUCUAAAACCUGUAUAUACCUUUCAGCAUUGAUGUCGCCUUUCCAGAUGUGCAAGCUGCCCGUUAUGUAGGCACUAAUGCACCCCCAUACCAUCUGUUUUUAUUUACAUUUAUGUCCAUUUUACACAGUGUCCCCAUUUUUUUUGGAAUUGGGAUUGUCGUUUGGGGGAAAUGUCUCUAAAUCUGACUUCUUUCCAGCAUCCAUCAGACUCUCUUGGGUAUCUUCAUAGUAUUUCCUGGGUUUUUUUGUUAGGGCUUAGGCAGUGAGUGGCUUGCGGGGAGGGGGCACACUGCGAGUAAAAUAAGUAGUACAAGUAGGUGAAGUACAAUGAAAAGGACAAAAAUAAACCAUGCCUCCCUGAUGAGCACUUCCUCCGAUUUCUUUUGCUGACUUCAAGUCGGAAUUAUCAUAAUUAUCAUAAUUACGGGAAAUCUCCAAGGUGAACAGCACCACAAUGUCGUAAUUAAAACAUCUUCUAUAAGCCUUGACUUUCCAUGCCAAUAACAAAAAGUCAUUGCGGUUUCCGGUAUAACUUUGACGUCUACAGCACACGGUAUGAUUUAACUGGUAAUUUAGCAUGUUAGCGGUGCAGUUAUGUACAGUUUUUACUCUACAGUUUUAGUCCGUACACAUUUUUGUGCACGAUGUUCAUGAAGAACAGCUAACCGACCCACCAAAAUAAACUCCUUGUCAUCAAUGAUACAAUAAAUAAAUAUAUACAAACAAAAGAAGUUUUCUCACGUUGUCCAUGUUUACCCCAACCAAAACCACUUAAACACACACCACGUCAUAAUCAGGACCUCCAAACUCAUACGCACGAGCCUUCAAGGAGUACCUGGGGCAGAAAUUCAAUGAAGAAACAAUACUAAUAAGCCUCUACAACCUGGUUGAGACAGCACAAAUGCUGCUAGCUAACUUGAGAUCACAGAAGGGAGCUGUGCUAGCGUCUCUCUAGCUAAUUUGCUAGAGUUAGUUAACUCACCACAUCGUUAGGAAGUUAUAAAAUGUCCAUUGUAAAAUCCUAACAUUGUUACCAGAUGUAAGAAUGUGAGAUUUGAUAUAUUGGUGUCAAGCAGCGUCACUUGGGUUUUCACACCAGAUUUGUUCACUAACAUCACUAGCACUCUUCAAGUUUAAUGAUAUUGUACUUUGGUGUCG